rnacentral:rRNA from 1 species
AACUCUCAACAACGGAUCUCUUGGUUCUGGCAUCGAUGAAGAACGCAGCGAAAUGCGAUAAGUAAUGUGAAUUGCAGAAUUCAGUGAACCAUCGAAUCUUUGAACGCACAUUGCGCCCGCCAGCACUCUGGCGGGCAUGCCUGUCCGAGCGUCAUC